AAGCAUCCUUAUAACCCCCUCAGUUGCCUAGUGGUUACUGGGAUAAGAAAGGAUGCAAGAGAAAUAUUAGAAUUAUCCAAAGCUGAGCGCUAUGCAUCAGUAGCUCUUGGUUAUUUCACCUCUAAGACAGAU
ensembl:snoRNA small nucleolar RNA SNORA14